GAGACCGUGGUGGCUAGUUUUCUCUAUUGCUACCUUCCCCCCUUUACUGCUGAGUUGGGGGGUAGGGCAAUGGCUCAAUGAAUUCUCAGACAUGAGUUCCUGCAAUAAGAUAUUCUUCAAAGGAAAAGAACCAAAUGGUUUAGCUGAAACGGAAAUUCCUAUGGAUCACAUCUGCCAGUGCUUCGAAAGUGCUUGUAUUUACGUGUCUGUGCUCAGUAAAAACAGGAAUAUACCGAUUUACUGGGUGUACAGUAUCCACAUGGAAUGGAGGGCCAGUUAUUCCAAUAAGGAUUUUGCAAGCAGAAUCAAUGAGUGGUACAUUGGUCCAAUGGAUAUACGUGCCAUGACAAAGAAGGAAAAAAGCUUCAUAACAAGGAAAGCAAACCCACAAGACAGUGCCGUAAGCUACAUAAUUAGCGGAGUAGCUCUUUCAGAUGACACUAACUCGAACAUUGAAGACCUGGCAAAACAGCCCGAUAUCCCCAGGAUGUCCUGGACUGUCUACCAUUGUAAGAGUGGUAGUAAAACAUUUGAAGGUGCCCUUUUACAAAAACACCAGAAAGGAAAUGAGUGGAAAUCAAUAAAAAUUGAGCAACUUGCACAGAUUCUGACAGAAAAAUAUGUGACUGCCAGGCCUGUGAUAUUUUUCUCCAAUUUUAUAGAAGCAAACAUGAAACCUUCUAUCCAGGAAAACCAGGGUGAGACUGACAGAGAAUCAAAUUAUUCCCCAAAAAGAUAUAACAAACCCAACACAAUGAUAAUUAAAGAAAGACCAAAACAUGUGACUUAUGAGCAGUCAGCUAAAGGAUAUUCACAAAGAUCAAAGGACAAGCUAGAUAACAAUAGAUAUAACAAAGGAAACUAUCCAAUACCAUAUUACACACUCAGGGAAAUGUUACCCUUUGAGGAUGAUGAAGAGACAGAUAUUGAAACUUUAAAAAUGAAAGAAAAUUCAGUCAUUGAAGAAAAUCAAGAAAUGAAUAUUUUACUCCUUGAAAAAAGUAAAAAACUUCAAAAUGAGGAAGGAAUAAUCAAGGAAAAUCGACCAGCAAAAGAAGAAAACAGCAAAAUGCAAUCAGAAGAGAAACUACUUAAUUCAACAGCUUUAGAAGACAGCAUUAAACCUAAAAAUGACGCUGAAAAAAUCUACCAUUGGAAAACAAUAAUAAAAGCAGAGCAGGGAGCAGAAGAUAAAGGAACAAUAGAAACUAUGCUGACAAAUCAUAUUGAAGUAAAAGGAGAUGUGUAUUCCCUGCCACUUAUAGAAAUACAACAACCUGAGAAUGAGGAAAACAAAGAUACAUAUACAGAUACGCAAAUAAAACACAUAUACAAAAAUGGUGAGUCAGACAAAAAACAAGAACCUGACAUCAUUCAUCCAAUAGAAUGGCUAAAACUUCUGAUUAAAAAUAAAUCAGUUGACGAUUCAUUAAGUAAAGAAUUUUUUGAAAAGGAUGAAAUUAAAGAAGACAAGCUAGAACCUGAAAUUACAACGCUUCAAGAAAUGCCAGAACCUGAAAACAGUGAAGACAUAAACAAAGAAUAUCAACAAAUUUAUUUUAUGAACAAAGUAAAUCACAAACUUAAUCCCACAACUUCUGAAGUAGGCAUGACUCCUGAUGAUAAGGAGAAGGCAACUCCAAAAAAUACACUUUGGGACGAUAAAGGCAGGCACAUGAAAGAACUAAAUCAAGAGCUGGCUGCCAUACCAUACCAAGACAUUGCAAAGUCUCUUAAAGAGGAAGACUCAACAUUAGUAACUUUAACUAAAAAAGAGGCAGAUGGAAGUACUAAAAUGCAAGUAAUAGAUUAUAACCCUACAUCCCAUAUGAAUACCACAGCCCACAGGGAGCUCCUUACACUUGGGAGUGAGAAUCUACCAAUGAAAGACAUUGACCAAAACGGUUUUACCACGAUUAAAGAAAAUACUGCAUCUGAUAAAAUUCAAGAUUCAGAUGGGGUCCCAAAUGAAGAUGUUAAAACAAAUAAAAUCAAUUCUCUCUCAGAAGGACACAAUUCUGUGGGUUUAAUUAAUCGCAUGGCAGCUGGCUUAAGACAAGGUUUAGAAAGGAUUUCUGCACUGCAAUUGCAUAAUUACAACAACACUGGAAAGGCACCUCCAACAGAAAAUCAUGAGUACACUGGUACAAAUUUGGAACGUAAACAAAAAACAGAAACUCUGGAUCAAGAUAAAAAUGGAGAAGGUGAACAGACCAAACAUGAAACAAAGGAAGAUGACAGUAGAACAGCGAGCUUGGGGGAUGAUGAUAAUUUAAUAUCAUUUGAUAACAAUAAAGAGUGCAGUCAUGGUAGAGAUCCUUCCAAGGAUGGAAAGGGCAACAAACCUGAAAAAAGGUAUUCAGAGAAAACGAGUGGGACAGAGGAAUCACACAAUGAAAACACCGCUGAUAACUCAGGAGGAAAAGAGUUCAUGGAAACAAAGACUGGACAACCACAGUUAGACCAUUUUGGGCCACAAGAGGGAACUGUAGUAUGGAGUAUGCAAAAUGAGGACAAAAUCCUGAAAAGAGCAGAGCUCAAUGAGGACCAACCCACAUCAUUUGACACAGUUUCUCACAAUUCUGUGGAGGAAGAGAAGAAUAGCCAUUUUUAUUAUAUUGAUGGGAAAAUAAAGGGAUCAAGUCAUAAUUUGGAUGUGGAAGUGAAAAAAACACACCGUCCCUGUGUGGGACUUAUGCAUAACUGGGGAGACUGCGGGUCAACUGUGCAGUAAAUUGAUAGUUCUGUGGAAAUUAUAAAAGAAACAAAUCCACAAAGUAAGGAUGAUGAAUUGUAAAUGCAUAUGUCCUCUCUUGAACACCAAAAGACUCAUCAGCUCACAUAAAUAAUUUGUUUAAAAAACAGAAUCAUGCCAUUGGUCUUGCAGAGAUGAGACAACCACAAGAUCAGCAGGCAAAAACACACAUUUGAAACAGUAACACAAUUAUAAAUUGGUCUGACUAAAGAAGGCAUUUCAAAACUUGAAACGGGUGAGGAACUCAAUUUAAAUUCCAUAAACCGAGUCUUACAAGAGGAACAGAGUUUUGGAUAAGAUGGGAUGGUACCAUUUACCACUCUGAGGGAUGAAAUACAAACUCCCUACUAAAUGAGCAGCAUCAUUCCAGGUACUGAAAA